UACAGAGGUCCCAAGCGUUGUUCGGAUUCACUGGGCGUAAAGGGUGCGUAGGUGGCCAAGUAAGUUUGAUGUGAAAGCUCGGAGCUUAACUCCGAAAUGGCAUUGAAUACUAUCUGGCUUGAGGGUCGGAGGGGAGACUGGAAUUCUCGGUGUAGCAGUGAAAUGCGUAGAUAUCGAGAGGAACACCAGUGGCGAAGGCGAGUCUCUGGACGACACCUGACACUGAGGCACGAAAGCUAGGGGAGCAAACAGG
rnacentral:rRNA from 1 species